CAGAAUUCAGGGCUAUAUUCAUAUUUUACCAUAAUACCUUAGUCUCCUUCUUGAUAACGCUUGUUAACAAGACAAGUGUUGUUACCACUUGUUAGUGGCAAUAUAUUCCAUAGGAGGGUCACUCCAGUUAGUUACCAAAAAUCAACAGCAAAAAAAGAACAAGAAAAAAAAAAGUAGCUAAGUGAUUCUAUUAGAUUCACAGCAGACUGAAUUUGAAGCAAGGAAUCCAUUGUUUCCUCUUUAAGCCUGGCUAUUUUUUAAAAAAUUUGGGGAAAAAAGAGUUUAUUUACAAGGAUUGGGAAGACCUGAAGUUAAAGACAGUUCCAUUAAUGGAAUGUUAGAACAGCUCAUCGAGAAACUCUGGCUGUUAAUUUGUAAGUUAUUACUAACAGUGCUUCUAGUUAAAUUAAGGCUCUGGAGCAUGACUUCCAUUUUUUUUUUUUCCUAUUUUAGCCAUUGACUUCACUGAGUGAUUUAACUUUUCUCUGUCUUAGAACAUACAGUUCCAAGGUGCCUAUAACAGGAGGAAAGCCUUGGGGUUAAAGUCUUUCCAAAUACCGUUUUCUAAGUGAGUAGGAUAUUCACCUACAGGAUGUGAUGUCCAUGUUUAUAUCCAUUCUCUGCAUGAUUCAGGAAACCCAGUUUGCAAGAGGAAAGGAUUUUCGAGAAAGCUCCAAAACAGGAGGUCUCAAUGUGGACACGAGAACAUUGAAAAUGUCUUCUUCUUGGGCUAUGAACAAAAAGUGUGACAGAUGGUAUGUGUUUCUUGUUUGUUAUGUUACAGUCUAUUCCAGAGGCAUGGCAGAGCAUUAG
rnacentral:lncRNA from 1 species